rnacentral:snRNA from 1 species
GUAUAAUUGAAACAGUUGGAG